rnacentral:rRNA from 1 species
GUAGGGAAUAUUGCGCAAUGGACGAAAGUCUGACGCAGCGACGCCGCGUGAGUGAUGAAGGCCUUAGGGUCGUAAAGCUCUGUUGAAUGGGAAGAAAAAAAUGACGGUACCAUUCGAGGAAGGACCAGCUAACUUCGUGCCAGCAGCCGCGGUAAUACGAGGGGUCCUAGCGUUGUUCGGAAUCAUUGGGCGUAAAGGGUGUGUAGGUGGCCAUGUAAGUCAGGUGUGAAAGCCCCGGGCUCAACCCGGGAAGUGCACUUGAUACUGCGUGGCUUGAGUACCGAAGAGGGUAGUGGAAUUCCAGGUGUAGUGGUGAAAUACGUAGAUAUCUGGAGGAACACCGGUGGCGAAGGCGGCUACCUGGUCGAGUACUGACACUGAGACACGAAAGCAUGGGGAUCAAACAGGAUUAGAUACCCCGGUAGUCC